AACUUUUAACAAUGGAUCUCUUGGCUCUCACAUCGAUGAAGAACACAGUGAAGUGUGAUAAGUAAUGUGAAUUGCAGAAUUCAGUGAAUCAUCGAAUCUUUGAACGCACCUUGCACCUUUUGGUUAUUCCAAAAGGUACGCCUGUUUGAGU
rnacentral:rRNA from 1 species